GCCCGGGUGGUCUAGUGGUAUGAUUCGCGCUUAGGGUAACACCCCAAGCACAAAUGCGCGAGGUCCCCGGUUCGAUCCCGGGCUCGGGCC